GCACAGGAUGGGCCCCGCCGGCGGGACGGCCAGGCCGUAACCCUCGUUGUUUCCCCUGGCUUAACCAAGGAGCUUGAGGAACAGCAGAAGAGGCAGCGUGUGCCCUGUUUGCAGUGCUGAAAUAACACCGAGACGCUUCAGCACAAUCGGCUGAGAGCGGAUGGUGCCCUGCUACACUGUAGGGAUGUACCAAGAUCAACGCUAGCUGGGCCACAGCAACCGGUAUGCAGGAUGCUGGUUUUGACAUCUCUUCCUGCUGCUAUGGAUUUGUUAUCUACUGGCUGAAAGCCCCUGUCAGGUACACUUCAUACAACCAGUUGCAGCAGCAAAGGUUCUGUUCUUGCUAGAACAGAAACUCCAGUUUCAUCUAUGGCAGCAUCAAGAGAUAAUGGGAUUUGUCACACCAAUGCUAAACUGAGACUAAGCUUCAGCACUUCACAUGGAACUGUUUGUUGAAAGAGGAAGCUGCAGUACCAAAAGCAGUCAGUGCUUGACUGCAUGAGACUGUGCCUCUCACAGAAGGUGAAUGAUGUCUUACUUCGAAAACUUUAUGAAAUGCAAACUCAGUUAAAUCCUUUCAGGUUUCUUCUUUGCAAGGCAACAAUAAAUGAGUAAUUGACUUUCUUAGAGCUGUUACUUGAAUAAUUGGGGAGAGGGAAAGCUAAGGUUCCUACUGAGGUAUGUACAAGAUGUCUUGCUUUCCCUUCAGAUUAAGAUUUGUAGUUUGAUUUACUAUGAAGA